AUUAUCUAAAGAUAUAAUAAAUAUUUCCAAAUCCAAAGAGAGAGGCACGACCUCCACUAUAAAUAUAGGUUUCUAAACGUAAAGAAAGGGGUCCACAACGUCCAUGACAAGAGCUCAUCAACUCUACAGCCGCCAAGGCAAGGUUUCGCACCUAGAAGACCUUCUUCUUCGACGGGCCUAUGAUAGGCAGAUCCCGGCGAUUACAAUCAAACAGAUGAAGAUAUAUGCUCACUGCAGCACGUCUACAACUCUCCUUACUGGCUCAGGCCACGAUCACCAGCUCAUCAGCAGGGUCCCUCCAUGCUCACUGAAGCACCUCGACACAUCAUGCUCACUGCAGCAUAUCGACAGGUCUACCAUCUGUUCCGGCCCUGUGCCCUCUAGAA
rnacentral:lncRNA from 1 species